UGGGGAAUAUUGGGCAAUGGGGGCAACCCUGACCCAGCGACGCCGCGUGGGGGAAGACGGCCUUCGGGUUGUAAACCUCUUUUGUACGGGAAGAAGGAAGUGACGGUACUGUACGAAUAAGUCCCGGCUAACUACGUGCCAGCAGCCGCGGUAAUACGUAGGGGACGAGCGUUGUCCGGAAUUUCUGGGCGUAAAGGGCGCGCAGGCUGUGCUGCAAGUCAGCUGUUAAAUGUCUGGGCUUAACCCGGGCAUGCGGUUGAGACUGCGGUGCUGGAGUGCGGUAGAGGCAAGUGGAAUUCCCAGUGUAGCGGUUAAAUGCGUAGAUAUUGGGAAGAACACCGGGGGCGAAGGCGACUUGCUGGGCAGCAACUGACGCUGAGGCGCGAAAGCCAGGGGAGCAAACGG
rnacentral:rRNA from 1 species